rnacentral:lncRNA from 1 species
CCACCGUAUUCUAUGGAUAGAAUUAUUCACAGGCUCAUCCAGACUCAAAGAGGAGGGGACAUUGGAGCCAUGUUUUAAAAUUGUCAUGCUAUUUAUCAGGGAACUCGAAGAAAAGUGGGGAAGAUGGGGAGAGGAACAAGUUGAGAGGGGGAGGUUAUGUGUUUGGACAUCUUAAGUAUAGAUGUCUGUUAGGCGUUCAAGAGGAUAUAUUGGUUCAACUGUGGAAGACCUUGUGAAAAAAGAGGUGCCCCACGGAAGACGCACAUAAAGUCCGACCCCGAGACCUCGGCGCUAAUGCUUACGUCAUGUUGCGGCAGCAUCGGGCAACAACUGAGGGAGUGGAACCAGCAAGGAUGUUUUCAGGGACUGCACAAAAGCCGAUAUGAGACAUGGCCGCUGUGAUUUAUGGGAAUCAGUGUCCCAACUUAGUCAAGUAGAGUGAGUCUUACAAGUCUUUCAGUGUGAUAUCAAUGUAGAUCAUUAAUGGGAAGAAACAUUUUAUAAUAGGAUUGAAUUUAAUGAAUUCUGCGGUAUGUUUCCUCUGUGCGAUGGAGACCUGUCAUUCAAACUCCAAAUGCAACUCAGUGUCUUAGAAAUGAUACUGCCAAGGAGAUAGGACUAGAUGCUGCAGGAACUUUACAGAGAGAACUCGAAGAGGAGCCACAGAGAAAUUAAUAAAGUACUUAAAUUGCUGCUCGCCAGGAGAGUAGAUUUAGACAAGUCACUUUCUUUCCCGAGCCUUGGUUUCUUCAUCCGGAAACAAGAGCAUUGAAUUCAUUGAGUCUCUAAGUUCCUAGUCACCCAUGAUAUUCUGAGUUUUCUGGGCUAGUGUUCGGAGCAGCCUAUUCGGCGAGCUAACUCACUCACCAAGAACAGCGCACUCAAAGGAGGAUGCCUUAGUUGUGGAGGCUGGUUCCAGGCACCCCCCAGCCUUUGCACCCUGUGGAAGGCCCGCUGGCGAGGGAACCCCACACCUGGGGGCCUUGGGUCAAGUUGGCUCUUUUAUGAAUGGGGUUUCUUUAAUCCUCUUCGUCUUGAUCAAGCUGUGACAAUGCAUUUUCUUAGGGAAAAUAUUCUACUUUUAAAUUUAAUUUGUACUAAUUUGCCCCAGGCAGAGAGCCUGCAAUAAACUUGGUGUCAAUUUCACGUUUGGCCAAAGUUUGUGAAGUGUUUUGCUUUGUUUUAGAACAAUUUACCAUUCGUCUGUGGGAGUGGUGGGGAGAAUCAACAGCCUGGCAAGUAGUUUUCACAAAAUGACCUAUUGAAGAAUUGUGCAUGGAGGAAUUUCAGUAUUUGCUGCUAGCUCAUGUAGACAGCCAAGCCCAACCUUUCUGGAGUCCUACAAAUCUCCAAGGAGAAACACACAGAAAACACAGAGAAUGAUAAAAAGGAGGAUGCAUUUAGUCUCUUCAUUGAAUGGAGUGUGUUAGUGUGGGUAUGUGGGAUCCUCUGAAUGAGACACAGACAACUGACAGUGUUUUCC